GUCUUUGUAGCAAGGAGAGGAGUCUUUCGAGAGAGAGAGAGAGUUCAUAAACCAAGGAAACAGUGGGAGUUAAAUUGACCUUGAAGAAAUUCAAGAGUCAAGUGGUGAAGGAACCUCAAACCUAGCAAUCAACCUAAGGAGGAAACUCCUGUUGAUCCGGCAGAUGAGUCUGUACCUCUGAGGCGUUCCACGAGAUUUAGGAAUGAACCUGAGCAUUACUAUGGUUUACAUAUUAUUGCGGAAGGUGUUACACUUAUCAGUGAUAACACAUUGGUAAGUUUGGAUGAACCUAAUAGCUACUCGGAAGCCAUGAUAGGCCCUGAGGCUGCUAAAUGGAAAGAGGCUAUGGAGAUCGAGAUACAGUCCCUGUAUGACAAUCAAGUUUGGAAGUUUGUUGACAAUGUGCAAGGUCGUAAGACAGUCGGGUGCAAAUGGAUCUUCAAGAAGAAGACUGACAUGGAUGGUAAUGUACACACUUAUAAGGCGCGACUGGUUGCAAAGGGCUUUUCUCAAACUCUCGGAGUUGAUUAUGAUGAGACCUUUUCACCAGUUGCAAAGAUUAUGUCUGUUAGGGUUAUGUUAUCCAUUGUUGCAUUUCAUGACUAUGAAAUAUGGAAAAUGGAUGUCAAAACCGCUUUCCUUAAUGGAAAGUUGGCUGAGGAUGUUUACAUGAUUCAACCAAAGGGUUUUGUCAGUGCAGAGUAUCCUAAUAGAGUGUGUAAGCUUGAGAAAUCCAUCUAUGGAUUGAAACAAGCACCUCGCAGAUGGAAUCUUUGUUUCGAUGAAAAAGUCAAAGAGUUUGGCUUUUCGAGGAAUGAAGAUGAAUCUUGUGUAUAUGUUAAGGCUAGUGGGAGUAUAGUUAGCUUGUUGGUACUGUAUGUGGAUGACAUACUACUCAUAGGAAAUGACAUUCCAAAUCUUCAAGAAGUAAAGUCAUGGCUUGGGAAGUGUUUUUGAUAUGAAGGACCUUAGAGAAGCUGCCUAUAUCCUAGGGAUAAGGAUGUUGAGAGACAUGAGUAUAAGACUAAUUGGACUUAGUCAGAGCACCUAUGUGGAUAAAGUGUUGAAGAGGUUCAACAUGUAGAACUCCAAGAAAGGUGAGUUACCGAUCCAUAGUAACACCAGACUGAGUAAGACUAAGAGCCCGAGUACAGAGGCUGAGAUAGCAGAGAUGAGUCGAGUUCUGUAUGCUUCCGUUGUAGGCUCGAUCAUGUAUGCUAUGACUUGUACUCGUCCUGAUGUGGCCUUUGCAUUGAGCAUGGUUAGUAGAUAUCAUGGGAAUCCUGGCAAGGAUCACUGGACUGCGUUAAAGAAUAUUCUCAAGUACCUACGGAGGACUAAGGACUGGGUCCUUACCCUCAGUGGGAGUAAUGACUUGAAAGUUGUAGAAUAUAGUGAUGCUAGUUUCUAGACUGAUAGGGAUAAUUUCUGCUCUCCGUCAAGCUGGGUCUUUACCUUAAACGAAGGAGCAAUUACUUGGAAAAGUUCCAAGCAGGAGACAGUGGCUGAUUCAAAUUGCGAAUCAGAAUAUAUAGCGCCAAGCAAGGCAGCAAAGGAGGCGAUAUGGCUGAAGAACUUCAUCGGAGACCUUGGAGUUGUACCAUCUAUAAAGGAGCCUGUGGAGAUUUUAUGCGACAACAAUAGUGCGGUUUCCUUAGCCAUAGAAUCUAGAGAUCAUGGCAGAUCUAGACACAUUGGCAGAAAAUAUCACUUCAUCAGGCAUCAAAUAAACGAAGGACUCCUCGUGGCAAAGAGGGUAUCAUCGGAUGAGAACCCAAUAGAUCCCCUCACGAAGGGACUGGGUAGGGUUAAGCAUCUCCAGCAUGCAAGGCACAUAGGUCUGAAGGAUGAUAUUAGUUUUAGUAAUUAGAUAGUUUUUGAAAUGUGUAAAGUGUAAUUGACAUUUGAUGAUGAAUAAAAGUUAUUGUUUAUUUAUGAGUAAAGUGUUGCUAUCUUUUGUCAAUCAUUUACUAUCAUUUCAUUUUGCAUGUUUUGACUUCCAGAAUAAUUAUGUCAUGGUAUUUCAUAUUAUUCAAAUUCUCCACAGUCGGUCAUAUGUUGGAGGUAGAUAUGAAUCAAGACUGUCAUGAGUUGGCUUGUAGAUGUAUAAGAUGUUGGACAUAGCAAGAGUUGCUACAACACUCAUGAGUGCUCAUAAGUUCUGAGUAUUGGAUUCAACUCACACUCACUUGUAUCACUUCAUGGAAUUUAUCUCGAGUGAUCGUGAGACGGUAAUAUCAUAUAAGUCUUCAAACCUAGAGAUAUCAGUUGUUGCCUAUGAGUUGGUUAUACAUUGAUUGUACAAAAACGCAUUGGUAACUCGAUGUUAUAAAACGUGCCUUUGUGUAUGAUGUAACAAGUAGUAGAACAAGCAUAUGAGUCGAAGUUUAUCUGUUCCUUCUUGGAUUAGAAGCGAUAUCUGGGCCCCUCGAUGAUUUUGUUGUGACCUAUGUACCGGACCCGGUCAGAACUAAAUUGAUGUGUUCAAUUAAGUUCUAUGUCAAACAAAUCGGAAAUCGGGAAACAAACUGUUGGAUAAUAAGUAAGACAUUAUUCAAUGUAUUUUUCCGACUGAUAUAUAGAACAGAGGACUAUAUGACCCCUUAUCUAAAAUGGUGCUUCAUAGUUUAACAGAGUUUUAAGAGCUACGAUUGUCGGUCGGUUCUUGAAGUCAUAAUUGCAAUUAUAGUUAUUAGACUUAUCCAAGUGGGAGACUGUUGGAUAAGGUGUCUAAGUCCAUAACUAUAUUUGAGAUGUACUUGACCCGACCCGGCAUGGUCCAUUUGGAUUGCACUUCACCCGAACAAUUUAUAUGGAUAAUGUUUUGAGAAUAGUAUAAGUUAUGAUUUAUUAAUAUAUUAUAAGUUCUAAUAUAUUAAUAUGAAAUCAUAUUAUUUAAUUAGUAUUGAUCUAAAAUUAAUUUAGAAUUAAUUUAGUGAUCAAAAGUGUGACUAAUUAAUAUGGACUCUUGUAUUUAUAUAGUGUGGGCUAAUGCUUAUCUAGAAUGGGCUAGGCUUGCAUGGUAAGUCCAUAGAUAGUCCAUGGAGCUUUAACCCAUGGAUCUCAUGGAAAUGAAAGGUCAUGGGUAUUAGGGUUUGCAUGGAUGUAACCCUAAUCCACCACACUAUAUAAAGGAGUCCUUGGCACUUGAAAUGGCACUAGUAUAUGUGUGAGAACUAAGGGUGGUGAUUUCUAGAAGUGUUCUACUAUUCUCUCAAAUUUUCAAGGUUUGUGGUGAUUUGUGACUUCCAUUUGAGGCAUCCACAUUAUUGGUGCUAGGCUCUUAAAGUCCAAGCAAUCAACCACUACUAAAAGGUAUGUAACUCUACUAGCUUAUUAAGUUUCAAAGUUCCAUUGCUAUGCUAGUUAGGUUAAGAACCUUGGAAAAGCAAAUUUGCAUGUAUCUUAGUAAACAUAGAUCCAAGGUUUCUAGGGUUGCAUGUACACCAUAGGAGUGUUAGAAUGCUCAAAACCCAUCUGUCUCAAGAUUCGUAAUAAUCCAAGGUAAAAUCUAUAAAAGGACUAUAGCAGGUCCAAACCAUAGAUGCUUGAAAGAUCCAGAAGCUGUAGAAGUCUUGAACGAAAUACAUGAAAGAGACUAUAGAAAUCACACCGGGGGCAGAUCCUUAUGAUCCAAGGUAUUGAGAACAGGAUACUAUCGGACAACCAUGAAGAUAGAUUCUUUUGUACAUGCUCAAAAGUGUGAAGCUUGCUAAAGACAUAGAAACAUCCUACAUUAACCGGUGGAACCUCUACAUCCUAUUAUCUCUCCAUGGCCAUUCACGAAAUGGGGAAUGGCUAUAGUAGGGAAAUUACCAAUAGCUCCAGGAGGAAAGUCUUCAGGUUGGUGAUGACCGAUUACUUCUCGAAGUGGAUCGAAGCUGAAGCCUUCAUUCGGGUAAGAUAAAAAGAGGUAGUCUCAUUUAUUAAACGUAAUAUCUUGACCAGGUUCGGGAUCCCUGCUGAAAUCAUUUGCGACAGUGGAUCCCAAUUCUUAAGAUAGAGAACAAGAGAUUUUUGCACGAGUUGUGGAAUCAAAAUGAUAGUCUCCACUCCUGUUCAUCCCUAAGCUAAUGGUCAAGCAAAAUCUAGCAACAAGAUCACAUUAAACAACUUGCAGAAAAAGCUAGAUGAAAAGAAAGGAAGAUGGGCAGAAGAUCUUCCUUUCGUUCUAUGGGUAGAUAGGACUACUUCCAAAAUAGCCACAGGCACGGCUNNNNNNNNNNNNNNNNNNNNNNNNNNNNNNNNNNNNNNNNNNNNNNNNNNNNNNNNNNNNNNNNNNNNNNNNNNNNNNNNNNNNNNNNNNNNNNNNNNNNNNNNNNNNNNNNNNNNNNNNNNNNNNNNNNNNNNNNNNNNNNNNNNNNNNNNNNNNNNNNNNNNNNNNNNNNNNNNNNNNNNNNNNNNNNNNNNNNNNNNNNNNNNNNNNNNNNNNNNNNNNNNNNNNNNNNNNNNNNNNNNNNNNNNNAGGCUCGAGCUCGAGCUCGUUUAAUAAACAAGCCUAAUAUUAAGCUCGAGCUCGGCUCGGGCUCGUUUAAAAUCGAUCUCGAGUCGAGCUUCUAACGAUUCGAUCUCGAGUAGCUCACGAGUAGCUUGACUCGUUUGCACCCCUAGCCACAGGUUAGAACCCCUACUCCUUGGUGUUUGGGACAAAAGAAAUGAUCCCUACCGAAGUAGUGAUCUUGAAAGCAAGAUACUUGCUCCAAAAUCAAGAAAACAAUGAUAGGAUCCUAGCCCAAGAUCUUGAAACUAUUGACAAACUCAGAGAUCUUGCCAAGAUACGCAUUUCUUCUCAUCAACAAAGGAUCAACAAGGCUUACAACAAGAACAUAAAAGUCAGAAGAUUCCAAAUAGGAGACUUGGUAUUAAGGAAAACAUUCCAAAACACCAAGGAUCCUAGUGCAUUUAGAUUAGCUCCUAAGUGGGAUGGACCAUAUCUCAUAAUGUGGUCUUUGUAGCAAGGAGAGGAGUCUUUCGAGAGAGAGAGAGAGAGAGAUUUCAUAAACCAAGGAAACAGUGGGAGGUAAAUUGACCUUGAAGAAAUUCAAGAGUCAAGUGGUGAAGGAACCUCAAACCCUAGCAAUCAACCUAAGGAGGAAACUCCUAUUAAUCUGGCAGAUGAGUCUGUACCUCUGAGGCGUUCCACGAGAUUUAGGAAUGCACCUGAGCAUUACUAUGGUUUACAUAUUAUUGCGGAAGGUGUUACACUUAUCAGUGAUAACACAUUGGUAAGUUUGGAUGAACCUAGUAGCUACUCGGAAGCCAUGAUAGGCCCUGAGGCUGCUAAAUGGAAAGAGGCUAUGGAGAUCGAGAUACAGUCCAUGUAUGACAAUCAAGUUUGGAAGUUUGUUGACAAUGUGCAAGGUCGUAAGACAGUCGGGUGCAAAUGGAUCUUCAAGAAGAAGACUGACAUGGAUGGUAAUGUACACACUUAUAAGGCGCGACUGGUUGCAAAGGGCUUUUCUCAAACUCUUGGAGUUGAUUAUGAUGAGACCUUUUCACCAGUUGCAAAGAUUAUGUCUGUUAGGGUUAUGUU
rnacentral:lncRNA from 1 species